rnacentral:rRNA from 1 species
ACGGUGGGUGAUCUGCCCUGCACUUCGGGAUAAGCCUGGGAAACUGGGUCUAAUACCGGAUAGGAGCCAUUUUUAGUGUGAUGGUUGGAAAGUUUUUUCGGUGUAGGAUGAGCUAGCGGCCUAUCAGCUUGUUGGUGGGGUAAUGGCCUACCAAGGCGGCGACGGGUAGCCGGCCUGAGAGGGUGGACGGCCACAUUGGGACUGAGAUACGGCCCAG